rnacentral:rRNA from 1 species
GUGGGGAAUUUUGGACAAUGGGCGCAAGCCUGAUCCAGCCAUGCCGCGUGAGUGAAGAAGGCCUUCGGGUUGUAAAGCUCUUUCGGCGGGGACGAAACGGUCCGUGCCAACACCACGGACUAAUGACGGUACUCGCAGAAGAAGCACCGGCUAACUACGUGCCAGCAGCCGCGGUAAUACGUAGGGUGCGGGCGUUAAUCGGAAUUACUGGGCGUAAAGCGUGCGCAGGCGGCUCCUUAAGUCAGAUGUGAAAUCCCCGGGCUUAACCUGGGAACUGCGUUUGAAACUGAGGGGCUUGAGUGUGGAAGAGGGGGGUGGAAUUCCAGGUGUAGCAGUGAAAUGCGUAGAGAUCUGGAGGAACACCGAUGGCGAAGGCAGCCCCCUGGGCUAACACUGACGCUCAUGCACGAAAGCGUGGGGAGCAAACAGGAUUAGAUACCCGAGUAGUCC